rnacentral:rRNA from 1 species
AUACGGAGGGUGCAAGCGUUAAUCGGAAUUACUGGGCGUAAAGCGUACGUAGGCGGUUAUUUAAGUCAGAUGUGAAAGCCCCGGGCUUAACUUGGGAACUGCAUUUGAAACUGGGUAACUAGAGUUUAGUAGAGGGGAGUGGAAUUUCAGGUGUAGCGGUGAAAUGCGUAGAGAUCUGAAGGAACACCAGUGGCGAAGGCGACUCCUUGGACUAAACCUGACGCUGAGGUACGAAAGCGUGGGUAGCAAACAGGAUUAGAUACCCGAGUAGUCC